UUAACCGCACCAUGGACACGUGGC
rnacentral:siRNA from 1 species